AGACGAUGCCACAAGCCAUUUGAACAUCACAGCUGACCACUGCAGGAGCUGUAGACAUCCACAGAACAAGAGACCAAGUCCUAGAUGCAUUAUAUAACUGGAUAACCUACGGACCAGAGAUUCAAGGAGUCACAUUCCCAGAGAAGUGUGUGAUGAAGAUUGGCCUUGCCUACACUAAAAGAAAGGUUGCUACUGCUGUGAUGGAUCUUCCAGAGUUUGAUUUAGUGAGAUUUAUCAGUGUUUGCUCCUGUCAGUCUCCGGCUGUAAGGAUGCCACCAACCUCAGCUUAAGCAGCCUCUAAUACAUGUGAAGACCACAGCCUACAGAGACCUUUCUUCUAAGAGGUUGAAAUUGAAGGCUCUGGUUUCUGGUAGGAACAGAGCUUCGGCAGCAAAACCAUUCUUCCCAGAGACAGCAUUUCCUGGGGCUGGGCAAAAUAUGUUCCAGUGAAGUGUUUCAAAAGAAACGAUUCUCCCCUCCCUAAAUUCAAAGCUUCCCAUUCUUUGUGGUGUUUCUAUUCCCCCCUCGCCCCCAACACGCACACUGAAAAUG